AAUUUAAAAGAUUGUAAAGGGAG
rnacentral:piRNA from 1 species